rnacentral:rRNA from 1 species
UACGGAGGGUGCGAGCGUUGUCCGGAAUCAUUGGGCGUAAAGGGCGCGUAGGUGGCUCGUUAAGCGUGCGGUGAAAGCUCGGGGCUCAACCCCGAGUCGGCCGUGCGAACUGGGGAGCUGGAGCACUGUAGAGGCAGGCGGAAUUCCGGGUGUAGCGGUGGAAUGCGUAGAGAUCAGGAAGAACACCGGUGGCGAAGGCGCUCUGCUAGGCCGCAACUGACACUGAGGGACGAAAGCUAGGGGAGCGAAUGGG